GAAUCAGUCCAACAUGAUGAUUAGCAUUCCG
rnacentral:rRNA from 1 species